GAGGUCAGACAUUAUCGCAGGACCUUCAACCAGACAAACUUUCGACACCGUUAAAGAUUAAAAGGGAACUCCUGGCACCGGUUUCAGAUAAAACGGAGAAAUUUACCGAAAAGUACGGAGUGAAAACUGGAGUUUUUGUCGACGUCGUGGAAUUUUCUCGAAAGGAAGAAAUGGCGUCCGCUGGUGCCCAUCCGCAUGUCUCCUUGCAAUGUUACAUGUCACGUGGUCAGCUGCACUGGUACCCUGUUUAAAGCUUUACGUCAUAAUUAUGCACCAUAUAUGAAUAAUUAAAGCAAUCACAUAAAAAUGUAAACAAUACAUUUGAAUGUACUUCUUGGCUUAGGCCUUUGUUUACAAUUUCGCAAUAUUGAGGGCCUAGAGUCUUUAUAUGAAACUACAUUUGGAGCCAUGAGUGAUUUUGCAGACAUUCGUUUUAUUGAAAAACAUAAAUUUGAGGUUGUUUCAAGGAAGUGCUAUAUAUGACCCAAAAUAGUUACACAAUCCGUUUGUUUUAAACUACAUGUAAAUGUGUUCCACCUGCAAAUUUUUUACAAAUAAUGUGUUUUUGAAACAAAAUACAUGUAGUUAACUGUCAAACCCACAUAUUUAUUAGUGUUAUACCAAAAGCACAAAAUCAACAAAUACAUGGAGUGUAACAACGUACCACAAUGCAAGCUUUCAAAUGCAAAGAAUAACACAAAAUUGUUUACUUUUCAAUAAUUUUCUCAGUUUCCAACCUAAUUUUAUUGUUUCUUGAAAGUUUCACAGCUAUUAAAAACACAAAUUUAAGAAUAUUUACUUGAAAACUUUCAGGGCAAUACGGCUGUUCACAACUACCUGUAACAUGUUAACUCCAGUCUGGUUAUACAAAAAGAUCCAUUGAAAGAUUCUGAUCAGAAAUUUUCAUAUUCUAUAAAA